AGUGAACGCUGGCGGUAGGCCUAACACAUGCAAGUCGAACGGCAGCACAGUAAGAGCUUGCUCUUACGGGUGGCGAGUGGCGGACGGGUGAGGAAUACAUCGGAAUCUACUUUUUCGAGGGGGAUAACGUAGGGAAACUUACGCUAAUACCGCAUACGACCUACGGGUGAAAGCAGGGGAUCUUCGGACCUUGCGCGAUUGAAUGAGCCGAUGUCGGAUUAGCUAGUUGGCGGGGUAAAGGCCCACCAAGGCGACGAUCCGUAGCUGGUCUGAGAGGAUGAUCAGCCACACUGGAACUGAGACACGGUCCAGACUCCUACGGGAGGCAGCAGUGGGGAAUAUUGGACAAUGGGCGCAAGCCUGAUCCAGCCAUACCGCGUGGGUGAAGGAGGCCUUCGGGUUGUAAAGCCCUUUUGUUGGGAAAGAAAAGCAGCAGGUUAAUACCCCGCUGUUCUGACGGUACCCAAAGAAUAAGCACCGGCUAACUUCGUG
rnacentral:rRNA from 1 species